rnacentral:rRNA from 1 species
GACGAACGCUGGCGGCGUGCUUAACACAUGCAAGUCGAACGAAGAGCGAUGGAAGCUUGCUUCUAUCAAUCUUAGUGGCGAACGGGUGAGUAACGCGUAAUCAACCUGCCCUUCAGAGGGGGACAACAGUUGGAAACGACUGCUAAUACCGCAUACGAUCUAAUCUCGGCAUCGAGGAUAGAUGAAAGGUGGCCUCUACAUGUAAGCUAUCACUGAAGGAGGGGAUUGCGUCUGAUUAGCUAGUUGGAGGGGUAACGGCCCACCAAGGCGAUGAUCAGUAGCCGGUCUGAGAGGAUGAACGGCCACAGUGGGACUGAGACACGGCCCAGACUCCUACGGGAGGCAGCAGUGGGGAAUCUUCCGCAAUGGACGAAAGUCUGACGGAGCAACGCCGCGUGAGUGAUGACGGCCUUCGGGUUGUAGAGCUCUGUUAAUCGGGACGAAAGGCCUUCUUGCGAAUAGUGAGAAGGAUUGACGGUACCGGAAUAGAAAGCCACGGCUAACUACGUG